GACGAACGCUGGCGGCGUGCCUAAUACAUGCAAGUCGAACGAAGCUGUUUUAACUGGUGCUUGCACCGACUUAAACAACUGAGUGGCGAACGGGUGAGUAACACGUGGGUAACCUGCCCCAAAGCGGGGGAUAACAUUUGGAAACAGAUGCUAAUACCGCAUAAUCACAGAAACCACAUGGUUUCUGUGUCAAAGAUGGUUUCGGCUAUCACUUUGGGAUGGACCCGCGGCGUAUUAGCUAGUUGGUAAGGUAAUGGCUUACCAAGGCAAUGGUACUGAGCCGAACUGAGAGGUUGAUCGGCCACAUUGGGAAUGACACACGGCCCAAACUCCAACGGGAGGCAGCAGUAGGGAAUCUUCCACAAUGGGCGAAAGUCUGAUGGAGCAACGCCGCGUGAGUGAAGAAGGUUGUCGGAUCGUAAAGCUCUGUUGUCAGAGAAGAACGUGUGCGAGAGUAACUGUUCGUGCAGUGACGGUAUCUGGCCAGAAAGCCACGGCUAACUACGUGCCAGCCGCCGCCGAAA
rnacentral:rRNA from 1 species